GACGAACGCUGGCGGCGUGCUUAACACAUGCAAGUCGAACGGAAAGGCCCCUUUGGGGGUACUCGAGUGGCGAACGGGGGAGUAACACGAGAGUAACCUGCCCUUGACUUCGGGAUAACUACAGGAAACUGGGGCUAAUACCGGAUAGGAAUCCUUGCUGCAUGGUGGGGGUUGGAAAGCUUCGGCGGUUUUGGAUGGACUCGCGGCUUAUCGGCUUGUUGGUGGGGUAGUGGCUUACCAAGGCUUUGACGGGUAGCCGGCCUGAGAGGGCGACCGGCCACAUUGGGACUGAGAUACGGCCCAGACUCCUACGGGAGGCAGCAGUGGGGAAUAUUGCACAAUGGGCGGAAGCCUGAUGCAGCAACGCCGCGUGCGGGAUGACGGCCUUCGGGUUGUAAACCGCUUUCAGCAGGGGCGAAGCUUGUGGUGACGGUACCUGCAGAAGAAGCACCGGCUAACUACGUG
rnacentral:rRNA from 1 species